CCCCACUCGCUGCCUCUGCCACUUGGGCCCAAGGGCCUUCUGCUCCCUACCAGCAGCCUGGGGGCUUCGUGUGCAGGACUUUAAACAUUUCUGAAGGGUCAUGCACGGGAGGCACCAAGCUCUUCCGGGGAUGGGGAUGGGAACCGUGCAGCACUGCCAGUGGCCCCUGAAAGUCCUAAACGAGAGCAGGAAAAUGUUCUCCCCUCUCACAGGGCAUGGUCAGUGCCCUCAACUGCCUUGGUGACACCAGCACUGGGACCUGUGUGGACCCCUCGGUUGCACACGGCCCCAGCGUGCCGUUGGUCCCUGCCUGUGGAUCCCAAGAGGACCGAUGUGCCCAGCGUGUUCUGAGGGAUGGAACGGGGACCCAGCCUCCAGUGUGUGGCCAGGGGCGCAGUGCCUUGGGCGGGCUCCGGCACCUGUUCCUCAGCCCGGGCGGAGCCCUGAGCUGCACCACGCACGGCCAUGUGGAAGGGAGAGGGCUUCUGCGCCCCGCACGCGCGCGCCCUUCUCCUUGGGCCAUCGCACUUCCUGUCCUGGGAGCGCUGUGUGCUUUUCGCUGUGGGGCUUCUGGCUGCCCUGCCCUGCUGACCUGCAGGAGCUCCUUACAUGCUAAGGAUGUCGGACGUCUCCUGGAGUUGUUCGAAGUUUCCCGCUUUUCGUUUCCUUGUUUACAGGCACGGGUCUCAUCCCCCGUUGCUGGGCAACCAGGGCCAGGUCCCAGGAAGACACAGGACGGCACUUCCUAUGUCAUGAGGAUAGCAGAGCAGAUCCAAGGCCCUGCAGCAGGUUCGGUGGCCCUGUGCAUGGGGGACACACAGCUGGGACCCCAACGCUGGGACCCCAAUGCUGGGACCCCAACCUUGAGCCCAACAGGAGCUGGGACAGUGUGAGCUAAGGGCUGCACUGGUCACCCGCACGAGCCCCAACACCUAGGCAGAGACCUGCCAGGCCCUACAGGCAGCUGGCCCGAGCCUGGGGCCCCCACCUUUUCUCUGUGCAGUCUGGGGAUGUGGCCCGUACACCAGGCCCAGAGGUGUUCGGCCUUGGCCUUCCCUCCUUGGCUUCCAGCGCUGCCUGCUCAGCCAUCAGUAUCUACUGUGGACCUGUGGGUGCCGCCAGUGCUGGAUCAGGCCUGAGCUGAGAGUCCUCCACCCUGCAGCCCCAGCGGACAGCCAAGGCUGGACAGGUCACAGUGCCCCGUCCCCAGCUGGAGCCAGGGUGGCCGAGGCUGGGCCCACUCAGAGAGGGGCCGGGGUUGACCAGGGCCAGAGGGGCUGUCCUGCUGGGCCACACCCUCCCUGCCUCCUGCCAGUGUCCUGCCUGGGAGCCCUGUGCAUGGGGGGGGGGUCACAGCCCCUCGGCCUUGCUGGGGUGGGGUGUAGUUCUGAGCAGUAGCCCCUGGGCCAGGGAUGGCUGGGUGGGGAGCCCAGCCAGGCCACAGGCAGCCUCUGAGGGCAGGCACAGAGCCAGGUUUCCAAUGGCAGUGGGGAGUGUUUUAGCAGGCAUGGAAUCCUGGAAAUUGCUCAGGAAAAACCCUGUCCUCGGGCCAGCCAGCCUGGCCGAGGGGGAGGGGAGUGUGGCCUGGGCACAGCUGUGGGGUAGCCACAGGACCUUGUGCUGGCCCAGGCUCUGCAGGUGCGCGCAGCGGCGACAGGGUCUCUGCUCACUGUCAGGCUGUGCUGGCCCCCCACGGCUGACACUGGCCACUGUGUCGCCAAGGCCCCUUCCUCCAUCCCCUCUGUCCCCCGACAUCCAGGACAUGCCAGGGUCCAGACUGAGCCUCAGUCAGCCCCCAUGCUCGCCCCACAGCCCCGCGGGCACUCAGCCAGGACCUGAUCUCCCAGGGAGGGUGCCGUGCACUGGGCGCCAGACAGACAGACGUCGGGCAGUGCCCAAUACCUCCAGGCAGCCUUGGCUGCACCCAGGCCACGGAGAGGCGAGACAUGCCCACCUAGAAGACACCAUGAAAGAGCAAUGAAGACUACAAACCACUGGGCAUGGGCUCCCACCUGGUAUCUCAGCUACUGAGGAGGCUGGAGCAGGAGGAUCCCACGUUCUAGGUUGGCCUGGCAACUCAGAGAGACCUGUCUCAAGACGAACAUGAAGAAGCCUGGGUCUGUGGCUCAGUGGUAGAGCACUGGCCUAACCUCCGUGAGGCCUGAGUUCCAUCCCCAGCACUGAAAAAAAUAUAUGUAUAUGAGCAAACCAGAUCUAUAUGGAAAAAAUCC
ensembl:lncRNA